AUCCCACAGUCCCUGAGAUAUUCCAGUCUUGAUUAAAGUGGUGGACUUACUGAAUGACCAAAAUUACCAUUCCUAGAGCCAUGCCGCUAGCAGGGCUAAAUAUUAGCCUCUAUCACCUCUCUGUCACUAUAUCAAUAAAAAGCUUCACGAAGACAGCAGUUAUUGCAGAUAAUUAUAAUGUGAAGGAGUUCACAUUAUUUUGUCUCCCACUGUUCAUUUUGUUUCCUGUGUAGCUAUCUGUCUGUGGUGUUCAGCUGAUGCAACAUGCCCUAUGGCAUGUGUUAUGAUUAUCUGGAAUUAUUUUCCGUUUCAAGACACUGCCAGACUUGACACACACUGUAUACCAAAAGUUUUCAGAAGUGGAGUCAUCAAGUUUAAGUUGUUUACGUCAAUGAACAAUGUUGCUCAAUCUUCUCAUAAACCACAAACCAAGGAAGCUGUGACCUCACUACUUUCAGGUUUUUAAGAUUACCAAGGAAGGAGAUCUCUUGUCCCAGUACUGGAAACUGGAACCAAUCCCUGUUUGUACAGUAAAACCAUCAUUCAUUGGUUAAUUCAGGUCCUGUGAACACUGAAAAAGCAUUUCAGAUGAAUGGGCCAAAGUGGAAGUGGAAAUCCACUGUACUUCAGCCAGUGAGUCAGCUAGCAAAGCACCCAUUUGAAGGAAAACCACAACCAGGAGAAGUAAUGGAUUUUGUUUUUCAUAAAUCACGGUUUCAAAGUGAAGGAUACGUCUGCGCCUGAAAAGAAAGCUCAUGAUGCUGACAGCCGUGCACACAGCUGCAACUCUGUUAUUAACGUUCAGUGUGAGACACUUGUCAGAACUCAAAGGGGUCCAUUGAAAGCAUGACGCGGCAAUGUGCCAUGGAGGUAUUCAAGCUCCACGGUGUGAUGCCAAAAGGGGGGAGCUCAAGUAGAAAAGAAAAAGUGAUGACUCACAAAACUUCCCAAAAUCCUCCUCCCUCCCCCUUCCUGGUUUACGGGAAAUGGAAUGCUGUUUUUUUUUUUCUCUCUCUCUCUCUCCAGUCCUAGACGUUCAUCUUCUUGACAAGCUGCAGGGCCAGGGCCUGGGUUAAUGUUUGUCUGUGGGAUUGUUUCAUCCCUCUCUGUGGGGGCCAAUCCGGCAAACUGGUCUAAUUAUGUGAGGCGGACAUUUGAAAGUUUGUUAGCAGUGUGGGGGAGGACGCGAAUAGAUGGAUUACUCGCUUGUGAAACAGAUAAGCCUUUGUUCUGCCAGUGAUUUAUAUUGGUGAGGUUUUGAUUUACUAAUUGCCAAAUUAAUUCACUGUUAAUCUAAAAAGGAUUAGAGGAUCAAUUGAAAUGAGCUGCUUAGUUUUAUGUUUCCUAAAGAGAUUUUAAUAAACCACAUUGUUUUAAGCCAUUUGAAGGAUUUCAAGCUGUUUUGUUUGGUCUGUGUACUAUUUAAAGACAACUCUUGGAGUCCUUGGGGAACAAACAAGCUGUUAACAAAGAAGUUAAAUGAUUUUAUGGCAUUUAUGGUUAGAUACAUGGAACCAGUGUGCAUGUCUUGUCCAAGAGUGGAACACAAUUAAAGAGACACCCCAGCAUGUAAUGUGAUCAAAUACAAUAACAGCUCUGUGUGAAACUUGUAACUUUCAUACAGUAAGUGACAAAAUAAUCUCAACUCAAGUCCUGCUUACUAGUUUUUUCAGAGCUUUGAAUCACAUCCCAUGGUCUUCAUCAGUGAAUUAAAUCCAGGUGUAAUUUAAUUGUGGAACCUAAUUUACUGGAUUACAAGUAGCUGUGUAAAAAUGGUUUCUGGUGUCAGAUGUAGAUGUCCUCUAUCAUCACUCUCCAGCCGUCCACUGACAGCCGAUGUUGUCCCUUUUCUGAUAUUCACUCAUCCACUCAUUGUCCUUUCCUUUUCGACAAUGUUUUCUUCCUCACCGCCACCACAAGUGAUGUCAUGAUGAUGUCAUCGACUACUCCAUUCUUCAUUUCAGGUGGGCUCCUGUCUUUAGGAUGUACACACGAGAUCUUAAGAUGUUGAAUGGUUUGUGGUACGUCUGUUUUUAUUUCUAUAAAUGCAUUUCCGCGGUGACACUGAGGUAUGGGAGCAUCAGGACCUCCUUUAACAGGCUCUGCAGCACCAGUUGCUUCCCUUAAGCUGUGAGGAUCCUCAACCCAGUGCCACACCCCCAAAUCUAUCCCAUCACUUUAAACCUCUGUGCUUUACAAUCCACUGAACUGUACAGAAUAAGCAACCAGUCAUUUGUUUACAGUAUUUUUUAACACAAAUAUCUUUUUGCACCUUAAUUUCAACUGAACCAGCUAUUAACAAGCAAAGCUUUUGCUGUUAAUGUAAAUCCUCACUCUUUACCUUAAGAUUGUAUGGUGUUUGUAUCUGUUAUCUUUAUUUUUAGUUUUUAAUUUAUGUAUACAGUUAUUUUGUUCAUUGCACUUAUUACUGUUUUAUACAUGUACUUAAUGUCUAUUCUAUGUUGCACUGUGGUCCAUGAAGAUGGACAAUUGGUUUUCCUGUAUUCAUGACAGGCCUAUAUGU